rnacentral:lncRNA from 1 species
CUGUAACUCUCUGGUACAGCCAUUGCUAUAAUCUAUCUUCAGAACCCUUUUCAGCUUGAAAAUUUGCCCAUUAAACAAUCUCUCCCCAUCCCCACCUCCUCAGAGCCCCUGGAAGCUACCAUGCUAUUUAUUGGUUAGUCCAUUGUGGAUUGACUAGUCCAUGAAUAUAAGAGCAAUUGCACAGUAUUUUUUUCUUUGGUAACUGGCCUGUUUCACUAUGAAAACAUCCUCAGGGUUCGUUUAUGUUAUAUCAAGGACCAGCAUUUCUUUUCCUUUUAGGCAGAAUAGCCUGCUAUAUGUAUAGCACAAUUCCCUUUGCUCCUUGGUUAUUCUGAAUUACCCUGCACUGAACCUGGAUCCCUUACCACCAAUCUCUGAGGUUUAACAUAAGCUCCCAGAGGCUAGCAUGGCCAGUAAAUUUCCAGCAACAUACAGCUAGGAAGGGUCAGCCCCAGCAUCAUCCCAGUGACACUCCAAACUCUAUUACAGUUGAAGAUGAAAAGAAUCUCACAGGUAAUAGUUGCGGUGGGUGCUCAAUACACUACACCUAAUUAUGUAAGUGGUUGCUUAGUUUUAACCAACUACUGUUCCCAGUUGUGGUGAUGAUCUUAGUAAGAUAUAAAUUAUAGGGCUGGUCUCAGAUUGUUACAUCACAAUAGUCUCUCCUUUAAACUGAAUGGCAAAGAUUGGUGACUGCCCCAAAAUCUAGAUCUCUUAUUCAAAUGGUAUGUAGACAAACUUUUGGGCAAGGCUAACAGUACUUGGAGUAGUUAGAGUGGCUAUCAUAUAUUAACUUGCAGAUCCCAGGUAAAGUCUAUAGCUCUCAAAACAAGCAGCAACAGAUAUUUUCUAGCUUCGAAUUAACCUCUGUGGAACACCCUUUGAGUCUUUCAGUUACUCACCUACCUCUCUAAAUCUAUGGAAGUGCUAGCUGCCUCUUUCUUCUACAUCAUAAAUAUCUUCUUACAGUCAGUGGUGGGACAUGCUUUUAAUCCCCAGAAUUCAGGAGGCAGAGACAGGAUAGAUGGAUCUCUUUGAGUUUAAGGCCACCCUGGUCUACAGAGUUAGUUCCAAGAUAGCCAGAGCUACACAAUGAAACCCUGUUGAGAAAUCUAGACAGACAGACAGACAGACAGACAGACAGAUAUAUAGAUAGAUAGAUAAUAAAUUGAUGAUAAGUAGGAAGAUAGAUAGAUAGAUAGAUAGAUAGAUAGAUAGAUAGAUAGAUAGAUAGAUAGAUAGAUAGAUAGAUAGAUAGAUAGAUAGAUGGAUAGAUAGAUGCUUUAAAAAGAGUGUCAGGAUGCUGCCUUUAACUGAAAGGGGCUGUUCCUUACUAAAAGUUCUCCUUUCCUUUUUAAAAACCCAUCAUUUUUAGUCAGGGACUCUCCUUUCAAAGCUUAUUACAGAUUCUAGGACAAGGUCUAGUGACAGAGCUGGACCGUUUUUUCCUCAGGAUCCAAUCCUUCCUCCUUGUUUUGUUUUGUUGUUUUUGUUUUUUUGAGGCAGGGUUUCUCUGUGUAACCCUGGCUGUCUAGGAAUUCACAUUGUAGACCAGNNNNNNNNNNNNNNNNNNCCCCCCCCCCCAAAAAAAAAAAGAGAAGGGACCAGGAAGUUCCUGAACCCACAGGGCAUAGCCUAUUUCCCUAAAUCAUGUUAUGGGUGUUAACUCCACAGAGAGAAAACACCCUACAGACAGCCGAGCUUCGGAGCAAAGAGUCCAUCGUCUUCCACGUUAGGUCUUAAGAUCUCUUGAACUGGGGGGAUCCCAGGAACCUCUGAGGCAGCACAGCACACAUUUCAGGUGUUUUAUUAGAUAGAUUUUCAAAAGUCAGCUAGCUCACUCAGACAUGUGGUCUCUCAGGUUUAAAAAUCGCCAAACUGCCAACCACCAAAGGCCUCCGAUUUUAUAGAUGAUCAGUUGUAUCAAGUAACAUUCAUAUAACAUUAUAUUCAUAUAAUGUCCAAGAACCUUUAGUGUACUAAACCUAUGAAGUAGGUUCAUAGUCAAUCAGGCGGAAACCCAAACCGGGAACUUCAAUAAUCCGCAGUCACUGAGAGAAUGCAGGGCCUAGAUUCCCACCUGGAUUCUGAACAGCAUAGAAGUUGGGCGGAUUAGCAUAAUUAACAAAAACACCCGUACUCCAAUAAAUAAAGAGACAACCACAAGCACCCCAAGUAGCGGGGACUAUUGGAAAAAAAAAAAAAAACCCACUACACCAACAGCAUAGGGAAGUCACUAUAGUCAGCCAAGAUAAGGCAGGCAAGUGGGAACUGUCGCACACACCCUUCCCCCAUUCAGAAGGAAAGGCAUCCCUGAAUUCUUAAAAUAACUCUAGCUUCCUCUUGGCCAAGGCGUUGGACUACUCCUCUGCGGGCUGACAGAAGUCGAGCUACGCGGGAGGUCGAGCUACAGCCUCUGUGGCAGCCGUUCGACGUCACCACCUUGCCUCGAGUCAACAGGGACCUCAGCUGUCAGCCAACCUUAGAGAGGGGCUGGGUUCAAACCCCCCUUCUCAUCCCUGGGGACUCAAGGUCCGAUCUGGACACUAAAUACUGGAUCCCAGGUGACUCCCUCUGGAAUCCCCACCGCGCUCCCUUUCGGAGUGGACUCAGGCUUCUCUGACAGGCAAGAGAAGCUGGAGAGGGGAAUGGGAGAGACUUGACGCCAAGGACCCAGGGGCGCCCACCCCGUGCGCACUGCCCACCACGCCUCCGCGCCGCUCCGCUGCGGACACCUGCGGAGUCGCCGCCCCCGCGUCCCCGCUCGAUCGCCCCGGCGAGUCACAGUCUCCCAAGGCUGAAGGAGUCUAGAUGCUCUCACCACCCAGGGCCAGCGCGAGCGCCACCAAGAAGCAGUGCGCGACCUCUGCUGCGGGCGCCGUGGCUGCACCGAAACUCAGAGUCCCAAGCCAAGAAAGCGACCUGUGAUCCGGUCUCUGACCCAGCCCCGGUCCCUGCCCGGUCCACCCUACGCACCCACCCUGCGCUCAAGCCCCCGACUUACUCGCUCGUGGUGGAAGUUUCAGGGCGGCGGAACUCCACGGUGACUUCGGUUAAAAGCUGUUCACGCGACGGGAUAGCCCUGCGGGGCCCGCCUGGGAAGCAGCUGCGGGCCGGGGUCUUAGGACGCGUGACCGGGACUUGCGGGCACACUGCUCGGGGAACAGUGCCCGGCCUGCAGCAACCUAUUAGCUGCAGAACGUUGGCCGGGAGGCGCCCAGGCCCGGCUCGGUGGGAGAGGAACUGGCUGUC